rnacentral:rRNA from 1 species
GUAGCAAUACAACUGGUGGCGACCGGCGCACGGGUGAGUAACGCGUAUGCAACCCAUUUAUGAGAGGGGAAUAACCCGGCGAAAGUCGGACUAAUCUCGCAUAAAACAGGGGCACCGCAUGGUGCUAUUUGUUAAAGAAAUUCGCUGAUAGAUGGGCAUGCGUUCCAUUAGGUAGUUGGUGAGGUAACGGCUCACCAAGCCGACGAUGGAUAGGGGAACUGAGAGGUUGGUCCCCCAUACUGGUACUGAGACACGGACCAGACUCCUACGGGAGGCAGCAGUGAGGAAUAUUGGUCAAUGGGCGAGAGCCUGAACCAGCCAAGUCGCGUGAAGGAAGAAGGAUCUAUGGUUCGUAAACUUCUUUUGCAGGGGAAUAAAGUGCAGGACGUGUCCUGUUUUGUAUGUACCCUGAGAAUAAGGAUCGGCUAACUCCGUGCCAGCAGCCGCGGUAAUACGGAGGAUCCGCGCGUUAUCCGGAUUUAUUGGGUUUAAAGGGUGCGUAGGUGGUUUUAUAAGUCAGCGGUGAAAGUUUGCAGCUUAACUGUAAAAAUGCCGUUGAAACUGUAAGACUUGAGUGUAAAUGAGGUAGGCGGAAUGCGUGGUGUAGCGGUGAAAUGCAUAGAUAUCACGAAGAACUCCGAUUG